GACGAACGCUGGCGGCGUGCUUAACACAUGCAAGUCGAACGGAAAGGCCCUGCUUUUGUGGGGUGCUCGAGUGGCGAACGGGUGAGUAACACGUGAGUAACCUGCCCUUGACUUUGGGAUAACUUCAGGAAACUGGGGCUAAUACCGGAUAGGAGCUCCUGCUGCAUGGUGGGGGUUGGAAAGUUUCGGCGGUUGGGGAUGGACUCGCGGCUUAUCAGCUUGUUGGUGGGGUAGUGGCUUACCAAGGCUUUGACGGGUAGCCGGCCUGAGGGGGUGACCGGCCACAUUGGGACUGAGAUACGGCCCAGACUCCUACGGGGGGCAGGCGUGGGGAAUACUGCACAAUGGGCGGAAGCCUGAUGCAGCAACGCCGCGUGCGGGAUGACGGCCUUCGGGUUGUAAACCGCUUUCGCCUGUGACGAAGCGUGAGUGGCGGUAAUGGGUAAAGAAGCACCGGCUAACUACGU
rnacentral:rRNA from 1 species